GAGGAAAAAAGGCAUACCUGUCUGAAAAGCGGGGACGCAAAGCCAUGGGUCUGCCCUUCCCGAACGGGAAGAACGAUCGCCAGGUUGCCAUU
rfam:Paenibacillus sp. MSt1 Contig_18, whole genome shotgun sequence.